rnacentral:rRNA from 1 species
UGACGAUACUGUAGGGGAGGUCCUGUGGAAAAAUAGUUCGACGCCAGGAU